rnacentral:tRNA from 1 species
GCCCCCUUAGCUCAGCGGUUAGAGCUGCCGACUCAUAAUCGGUAGGUCGCUGGUUCGAAUCCAGCAGGGGGCACCA